GGGAGCAAUCCUGGUGGCGAGUGGCGAACGGGUGAGUAAYACAUCGGAACGUGCCCAGUAGUGGGGGAUAACCCGGCGAAAGCCGGACUAAUACCGCAUACGACCUACGGGUGAAAGCAGGGGAUCGCAAGACCUUGCGCUAUYGGAGCGGCCGAUGUCAGAUUAGCUWGUUGGYGGGGUAAAAGCCACCAAGGCGACGAUCUGUAGCUGGYCUGAGAGGACGACCAGCCACACUGGGACUGAGACACGGCCCAGACUCCUACGGGAGGCAGCAGUGGGGAAUUUUGGACAAUGGGCGCAAGCCUGRUCCAGCCAUGCCGCGUGCGGGAAGAAGGCCUUCGGGUUGUAAACCGCUUUUGUCAGGGAAGAAACGCUCCGGGCUAAUACCCUGGAGUAAUGACGGUACCUGAAGAAUAAGCACCGGCUAACUACGUGCCAGCAGCCGCGGUAAUACGUAGGGUGCAAGCGUUAAUCGGAAUUACUGGGCGUAAAGCGUGCGCAGGCGGCUUUGCAAGACAGAUGUGAAAUCCCCGGGCUUAACCUGGGAACUGCAUUUGUGACUGCAUGGCUGGAGUGCGGCAGAGGGGGAUGGAAUUCCGCGUGUAGCAGUGAAAUGCGUAGAUAUGCGGAGGAACACCGAUGGCGAAGGCAAUCCCCUGGGCCUGCACUGACGCUCAUGCACGAAAGCGUGGGGA
rnacentral:rRNA from 1 species